rfam:Myotis brandtii contig279132, whole genome shotgun sequence.
AGGCCUGAAGAGAGAAGUAGGGUCUGAUCCAUAGCCUCUGUGGCAGCUGUUGAUCAGCAUUUGCCUCUCUCUUUAGCUCCA